GGGUUGCGGACAGUGUCUGGUGGGUAGUUUGACUGGGGCGGUCUCCUCCCAAAGAGUAACGGAGGAGCACGAAGGUUAGCUAAUCCUGGUCGGACAUCAGGAGGUUAGUGCAAUGGCAUAAGCUAGCUUGACUGCGAGCGUGACGGCGCGAGCAGGUGCGAAAGCAGGUCAUAGUGAUCCGGUGGUUCUGAAUGGAAGGGCCAUCGCUCAACGGAUAAAAGGUACUCCGGGGAUAACAGGCUGAUACCGCCCAAGAGUUCAUAUCGACGGCGGUGUUUGGCACCUCGAUGUCGGCUCAUCACAUCCUGGGGCUGAAGUAGGUCCCAAGGGUAUGGCUGUUCGCCAUUUAAAGUGGUACGCGAGCUGGGUUUAGAACGUCGUGAGACAGUUCGGUCCCUAUCUGCCGUGGGCGCUGGAGAAUUGAGGGGGGCUGCUCCUAGUACGAGAGGACCGGAGUGGACGCAUCACUGGUGUUCGGGUUGUCAUGCCAAUGGCACUGCCCGGUAGCUAAAUGCGGAAGAGAUAAGUGCUGAAAGCAUCUAAGCACGAAACUUGCCCCGAGAUGAGUUCUCCCUGAGACUUUAAGUCUCCUGAAGGAACGUUGAAGACGACGACGUUGAUAGGCCGGGUGUGUAAGCGCAGCGAUGCGUUGAGCUAACCGGUACUAAUGAACCGUGAGGCUUAACCUUACAACGCCGAAG
rnacentral:rRNA from 2 species